AGUAACACUCUGGGAGGGCUCAGGCCACAUCACGAAAUGUGACAGGAUAGCCUUGAACUCAUCAAUUGCUGGGUAAGAAAGAAUUUUAAUGCAAUGGCAAACAACCAAUCAAACAAGCAAACAAAAACAAUAAACCCUUCCUUGAGGACCAAGAAGACAUUGAUUAGCUAACCUAAGAGCUCCAGGUGGAGACCUAGGUCCUGAUUGGGUUUCUGAAUUUGACCACUAGGCAGAAAACUAGCACCCAAAACCAGUUGGAAUAAAAUUACCCACCUACAGUGGAGCCAAGGCCCCCAGAUCCUUUUUGUCAGCAAGGUAAGCUGUCAUCAGUUGGAGGUAAGCAGAAGACAGUAGAGAGUACAGAGCCCUGGACUGUGACUCAGAGGAUGAGCACCAGAUCCAGUUUGCUGUGCCACAGUGCCUUCUCCAAAGUCACUCACAGAAGGCAUCCCACUCAACCUCACCUUGGGGUAAAUCAAAAUAGUCCUCCUUCUGAAGCUACCGGGUAAAACGGUGGUAGCUGUGCAGCUGCUGCUGAUCAACAGGCUCCAGAAACAGCAGCAGGAGAAAAAGCUGGUUCUGAGUGAAAUAGAAGGACUAGGGUGCCAAAUUAACUCCUCUCCACAAAGUGACCCCACAUGGAAAAGUACUUGAGAAGCUCUGUAAAGACAUGGUAAAAGCUUACCAAAGACAGUAGCAUUAUCCUUUCCCUUACACACAAAGUGGAGGGGAAGUGUGGGGCCUGUGAUAUUUUGAAGCAGGAAGCUGACCUGAGACCUUCAGAAUAAACUGAUCACUGUGGAUAAUGAAAAGGCCCCACCCAGGACAUUGAUUGAGCACCCCUGCCUGUCUCAUUCCUUCUUCUCUUUCUUUUUAUUAUGUGCUUACCAUAAUAAAAAUUUUUAUUGUCU
ensembl:lncRNA LINC01193 long intergenic non-protein coding RNA 1193